ensembl:lncRNA
CUUUUUAGGGCCACACCUGCAACAUAUGGAGGUUCCCAGGCUAGGUGUCAAAUUGGAGCUGUAGCUGCCUACCUACACCACAGCCACAGCAAUACUGGAUCCUUAACCCACUGAGCAAGGCCAGGGAUCAGACCUGCAUCCUCAUGGAUACUAGUCAGAUUCGUUUCUGCAGAGCCAUGACAGGAACUCCUAAAUUUUGAUCUUUUAAAGAAAAUGUAUUCAAUCUCAUCAUUUUAUAAUUUCCAUUUCUAAAUUUCCCCAGAUAUAAGCAUGCCUGAAAUUUAGGAAUCAAGUAUACUCUAAUAAAUUUAAGAUUUUUCCUAUCCCUAGUAAACAUAAUUUCUCCCUACAAAUACCAAUAAUAUGGAAUAUAAGUCAAUUCAAAUGCUAUGUAGAAUAUCUGCUUUAUCCAACUCAUGUUGUCUUUAGGAAGAAAACAUUUGAAAAAAAAUAUCAGUUAAAAGAAGAAGGUGACAGAUGGCUUAAUAAGCUAUUAUCAGUUAAUGAAUUAACAAACAUGGUGUACUGGUUAUCUAUUGCUAUAUAACAAAAUUAGUGGCUGAAAACAACAAACAUUAUCUUUCAGUUUCUGUGGAUCAGGACUGCAAGCAAAGCACAGCUUGGUGCCUCUGGCUUAGUCUUUUAUGAAGCUGCACUCAAGCUGUUGCCUGGUGUCAGGCUCUUAUCACAAGACUGGACUGGCUGUUGGCAGGCCUCAGAACACCUAUAUCCAAGCUCACUCACUUGUCCCUCCUCACAGGUCUGCCUCACAACAUAUUUCUGCAUUCAGCAAAUGAUCCAAGAAAGAACAAGAGAGAACAUUCAAAAUAAAAGUCAUAGUCUUUUUUCACCCAAUCUUGGAAGUGACGUUCUAUACUGUUACCAUAUUCUAUUCAUUACCAAGUCAGUAAUUCCAGCUCACACUCAACGGAAGAGAAUUACACAAAAGUAUGGAUGACAGGAGGUAGAGGUCAUCCAGGAUGAAAGUAAAGGCUCCUUUUCACAUAAUGUGUUGAAGCUCUCUCAAUUCCACUUAGCCAUUUCUCAUUUGUGAUUUUCGAUUCAAAUUUUCUGUAUCAAUGUGACUAAUUCAGUUAUUUGCACUUCCUGGACUAAAGGCAUCAAUAAACACAUUUAAAUACAAUUUAUUCUAUCAUAUAGAGUGAGUUAUAUCUUCCAAGUUAUAUCUUACAUUUUUAACAUUGUAAGAAACCAGUCACACUGGGUAUUGGGACUUCAACACACGGAUUUGCAGAGGAAACAUUUCAGUGCAUAACACUAGCCAACAUGCUGGGAUUUUAAAGGGCUGGCUCUUAGUGACGUCACAUUUCAGGACCCCACAGGAAACUCUGUGGUUCAUUUAGGAAUCAUUCAGCUCUAGAAGGUCUGCUGCAUUCCGUUGCUAUCCCCAUCACAGAUAUACAGCUACCUCUGGACUUGUGUCUUGGUAUAUAGACCAAGUACAUGUGGACUAUUAUCUCGGCAUAAUUGGAGUAACAAGUGGCUGUUCUAGAAUAAACUCUGUGUAAGCUUUCUUUUACACAUCAGGAAAUAAAGCAAAACAUUUACUUGUCCCUCACAGCAAUCCAGGCUACUAUCCUAUAAGGGUGCCAUCCCCCAUCACCUAAAUCUCCAUCCAUACAUGAAAUAUUUGGAGCCAUCUGAGUGAAUCAGUCAAUUAUUUAUUCAUUUACCCAUUCAGGUAUCAACUACUUAUUUCUGAAUGUGCUAGUCAAUAUCCAACAUACUGGGAAUUCAGAGACAAAAAAGACAAGGUCCCUGUCCUUGAACAAUUCAUAGUUGAGAACUAAAUUUGAACUUUUAAAAUUUGGGCUUUGGACCUAAGAAAAGUAUAUAAUCACUAUCCAAAUUUCAACACCAUUAAAAAGCAGAUCAAAAUUAAAAUUCUUCCUAGUUGGGACUCCUGCUAAACCAUGCAGUGCCUUUGUAGAAAUUAAAAAAACGGCGACCCCACUGGGCCAAAACUGACACACGAAUAAUGCUGUUGUACAAUGAGCACCCUUUUCUUCAAUGGGCACAGACCAAGCAGGAAGCACAGGAGGAUCUGGGCCACCUACAGACCCCUCAGUUAUACCCACUUGUCCAAAGAACACAAACUGCACCAUCUUAUAUGGCAGUCCUCUUCGAGGUGGUGGUACUCAGAAUGUGUUGGGGUGCCACACAGGUCACCAGCAAACAUUCCAGCUUAAUGCCAUCCCUACAAUCCAAACAGUUAAGCAGAGAAAAUUAAAGUCUAGAGAUCUUGAAGCCAAUCCAGAGAUCAGGAAGAAUAAUCAGGAGAAUCUCAAAGCCAAAAAUAUAUGAAUAACUAUGAAUUCCAUAUGAAUGAAAUUCUAGCAAACUUUUGUAAUUUGUCCCAGUGAACUCCUUUCCCAGCUAGAGAAAGAAAGAAAGAUAUAGCAGUUUUAUAGCAGGCUUGUACCAGCCAUCUAUUUUCUGGGUUGGAUUACAAAUGAACUAUGAACAAGGACCUAAGCUGUGAAUGCCAUGUACCUUAUGAGUACUCACUAAAUGCAAAGCAAUAAAAUCCUACUUUAUGCAGAAUGAAAAAAAUAGAGGAAGGUGGAUAAAACAACUAAUUUCUACAGUUACAAAAACAAUUAUUGGACGAAGAGGGGUUGUCAAAAGUGUCCUUCAUACACUAUCCUAAAAUAUCCCCAUAUUUUAUUUAUUUUAGUUAGUGUUUUUCCAGUCGGCAUGCAUGAGUGCAUGUCAUCAAUUCAGUGAAUGAGAAGUUUGAUAACACUAUUUUUCUAUAUCAUGAAGAUAAAUACAUAACUUAGCUUUAGGCUUCUAAUUAAAUGAGCCACAAACUCUGAUUUAUUAAAAAAACAUUUCAUAUUUUUGGACAGAAAUUUAGCUUCAUUCAAAGGCAAUAAGAAAUGACUGUAAAGGUUAUUGAACUGAAAUAUGUAUUCUUUUUAACCCCCCAAAAAGUCACUAAAAUUUGCAUUCUCUUAACUACAAGUCAUAUUUAGGUGGACAAAAUAUAGUAAGAGUAAUACAAAAUAUCAUUAGUAGUAUAUGCUGAUAAAAUAUAAAUCACAUUUUAAAAUGUGAUUUAAUAUCUAAACCACUGCAAUAACUAUGACCAUAAAGCAGACCUAGAUUAUAGGGCAAUCAUCUAGAAUCUGUAUUCCAGAUUAUUGCAGUCAUUUCCCCUUCCAGCAAACACUCUUGUCAAUCUUCCUCACACUUGUUCUAUCUUAAUUCUCUACAAAUUUUUUUUAAUAUUAUUGAGUAUAGCUGACUGACAAUGUUGUAUUAGUUUCAGGAGUACAGCAAAGCGAAUCAGUUACACAUAUAAAUACACCUAUUCUUUUUCCCAUAUAGGUUAUUAAAAUUCGGUAGAUUUUCCUGUGCUAUAUAGUAGGUUCUUGUUCAUCAUAUAUUUUAUACAGUAGUGUAUAUAGUUUAUUCCCACCCUCCCAAUUUCUCCCUCCUCCCAAUGGUGUCACCUAUGGUAACCAAGAGAUUGGUUUUAAAAUCUAUGAGUUUGUUUCUGCUUUAUGAAUUAGUUAUUUUGUAUCAUGUUUACUAGGUUCCACAUAUAAAUGAUACCAUGGUAAAAAAAAAUAUGGUAUUUUUCUUUCUCUGAAUUCUACUAAUAUUUUACAAUUACAUAUAUACUCUUUUUUCUCCAAAUAUGGAACUGUGUGUACACGCACACACAGAUUUUUCCAUUGAAAAUAUCUUAUGAAUACCUUUCCAUAUUAACACAAAGACAACUACUUUAUUCUAUUAAAGGGCUGCCUGAUGUUCUAUUGCAUGGCUUUAACACUCAAUGUAUCAGUGAAAGACAGUUUACUUUCAGUUUUUAAUUUUUACGUACAACACUGCAAUUAAGUUAACGUAUGUCUUUAUAUAUCCACUAUGUACUACAUUUUUUCCAUGUAAUAAAUUUCUCAAAAUAGAUUGCUAAAUAAAAGGUUUUUUAUGAGAUCCUUGAGAACAGAAUUCAUUUCUCAGUUCCCACAGGAUUCAUAUAACACUCUAAAAUAUGUGGUUACUAAGUGGUGCUAGCAGAAUUAAGUUAACUGAGAGGUUGCCUAUACUGACUUUGGAAACAAACGGAAUAAAUACAACUGAAUGGCCCUUUUACUUUUUCCUAUAGCAAUAGAGUCUCCAAAGCCAUCUGAAGCUUCAGUUUAGUAGGAGGUUCUGAUGGUAGGCAACUCUUUACUGAAAAGCAGUGUUUUAUUCUGUUUGCUAGAAAUGAAAGCCAUCACUCCACUGUCACUGAAUGAGCAUUAGUAUACUAUAAUUUUACAGCAUUCUAAUGUACCAAUCAUUAUUGGGAAAAUACAUCAUGUAUUAGUUGAGUGUAGUAUACUUGAAAGAAUAUUGUCUAAAGGCAAGGCUGUGCCUGGUCCAGGAACUUACACAUGCCA